AGCUUAAAAAACUUUAAUAAGUUUGUCAGACGUUUCGCCGGUUAGGGCUUGUGUCAUUUGUGUCACUGAUGAAGCCCUAACCGGCGAAACGUCUGACAAACUUAUUAAAGUUUU